rnacentral:rRNA from 1 species
AUGCCCAAGGCAGGAGACUGUAGCGGCGGCGGCGGCGGUGGCCGGAGGGACCUGCCUCUGCUUUUCCUGAGGGUGGGCGCUGCCAUCACGCUCUCCAUCGCUGGGCUCUUCUUCUCGCGGCUGCGGUGGCAGCACCGGCCUCGGCCCCGGCACCUCCUGCUCCCUCCUCCUUCAGAGCCGGAUGAUGCCCGUGGCAUGAAGGGUGGUGGUGGAGGGCUCAAGGACGAGCUAAGGAUCCUCAAGAAUGAGGAUACCAAGGCAAAAAUAAUCAAUGGUAACUCUGUGCACACAACCACUACCACUACAACGACCACCACCACUGCCUCAGUGUCACUUCCUCCGAAAUGCCGAAACAUUGAUGAUGAUGAUGAUGAUGAUGAUGAAGGAUUUCUCCUUCCAGAAUACAAUGAAAUGGUUAUGGAAGAAUUUGGCGGAGACGUAGGCAAUAUCGCAAGCUCACCUGCAGCAAGAGUAAGGGAAGAUGCAUCUAAUGAGCAUGAAAUUUUCAAGCUCAGAGAUUUGGUUAGAUCUCUGCAAGAAAGGGAAAAGACCCUGGAGAUACAACUUUUGGAGUUGUAUGGUUUGCAGGAGCAAGGUGCUGCAGUUAGGGAGCUUGAGAACCAACUGAAGAUAAACAAUGUCGAGUCACAGCUAUACUCCUUGAAGAUCGAAUCCUUGCAAUCUGAAAAUCAGAGGUUACAAACACAGUUGUCUGAAAGCUCAAAGUUAACUUCCCAGCUUGAGUUGACAAAAUCAAAAUGCAAGCUGUUGAAAAAGAAGUUGAGACUGGAUGCGGAACAAGCAAAGGAGAAAAUCACUUCCCUUCAGAACAUAGUUGAUUCCUUUCAGUGUAAGGAGAUUAUUGAGGGAGAAGUUGACGGCGAGGCUGAGAAGAAAUUAAAGAGGCUAGAGGAAUUGGAAAAUGAGGCAAGAGAGCUUAGAGCUGCAAAUUCAAGGCUGCAGCAGGAGAAUUCACACCUUACUAGGCGAUUGGAGCUCACACGCCUACCGCCUGUACCCAAGUCCCACAAUAGCAUGGAGGUAAAAACAUCAGAACAAGUUGAUGGGUUGAAGCAAGAAAACGAGAAGUUGUCAAAAGAGGUUGAACAACUGCGGACUGACAGGUUUGCAGAUGUUGAGGAGCUGGUAUAUCUUAAAUGGAUCAAUGCUUGCCUGCGGCAUGAGCUGAAGAACAAGGGGACUCCUGGUCCUGGGGCACAAACUACAGCACAGGAUCUAAGCAACACCCUAAGCCCCAAAUCUGAACAGACAGCCAAGCAAUUGAUAAUGGAGUAUGCCAAUGUUGGUGCGGACGAGAGAAGUUUAAGCUCCAUAGAAUUUGGCUCAGAGUACGCUUCUUCAAGGGCAUCAUCAAGUGGCGAACCCGAUGACACAUCGAUCGAUAUGUCAUCAGUCACAACGCCCAGAAACCCGAAGAAGAAAGAGAAGAAGAAGUUUUUCUCUAAGCUACGGAAAUUGGUACUGGGAAAAGAUAAGGAAAAGAACAAUUUCCCUACUUUGGAGAGGAGAGUGUCUAUUUCGAGCUGUUCCUUUGAUGACUUCACUGGAAGAGACUCGCAUGAUAGCUACUCUUCCUUCUUGACAGAAGGAGCCGUAUCUGCCAAUCAGCAGCAUGACGAUCGCAGCUGCGUUACGCCUUCUUUUGGCAGCCAAAGAUAUAGCACAGAAGCAGGAGAUGGAAGAUACCAGCGUCAUGGGGUAAAAAAGAAUGCAUCUUUCGGAUCCGGAAGAUUCAGUGAACAUGGUUCUCAGUUUGAUAGUGGUGAGGCCACAAUACCAGAAGAUGUUGAGAUCCACAAAUUCGCCGAGGCACUGAUUACAUCAAGGACAGGUUCUAUGUCAUCCAGAAGGACAUUAUCCUUCAGCUAA